rnacentral:rRNA from 1 species
UUGCUUAAAAUAAAGGCGUAGGGUGGAUAUCUAGGCGUUUAAAGUCGAUGAAGGGCGUGUAUUACCUGCGAAAAGCUUCGGGGAGAAGGUAAAUCCUAUAAUCCGAAGAUACCCAAAUAGGAAAACCUGAUUGUUUUUCAAAGAAAGAAUACAAUCACUUUUUAAUAAAAGAGAUAACUCAGUGAAGUGAAACAUCUCAGUAACUGGAGGAAAAGAUAGCAAAAGCUAUUUCCAUAGUAGUGGCGAGCGAACUGGAAAAAGUCCAUAAAAAAAUAUAAAAAUUCAUUUAUUUAAAUAUGAAUAGCAAUAAAUAAGCUAGCCAUAGAAAGUAAUAGCCUUGUAAUUUAAUAAAUAUAUGAAUUAAUUUUUUAAUAAGUAAUAUGGAAAAUGUGAAAUUCCGUAUGAAUUAUGAGAACCACCUCAUGGGCUAAAUACUCUUAAACGACCGAUAGAGAAAAGUACCGUAAGGGAAUGAUGAAAAGAACUUCGAAAGAAGAGUGAAAUAGAACUUGAAACCCUAUGCUUACAAAAAGUGGGAGCCUUUUAAUAUUAAAAGGUAACCGCGUGCCUGUUGAAGAAUGAAUCGGCGAGUUAAAAAAGAUGGUAAAGACUAAAAAUAUUCUUUGAAGUCGAAGUGAAAACAAGUCUUAAUUAAGGGCAAUUUUAAUCAUUUUUUUUAGACCCGAACCCGAGUGAUCUAACUAUGGCCAGGAUGAAAAUAAGGUAACACUUAUGGGAGGUCCGAACUGGUAAUUGUUGAAAAAAUUUCAGAUGAGCUGUAGUUAGGGGCGAAAAACCAAUCGAACUCGGAGCUAGCUGGUUCUCUCCGAAAUGCAUUUAGGUGCAGCAAAGUUUAGAUAAUUUAUUAGUUAUUAUAUAAAAAAGAGGUAAAGCUACUGUUUCAAAAGAGGCUACGAGAGUGGUACUUUUUUGUUGCAAACUCAAAAUGCUUUUUUAUAGUUAAAUUUAGUGAGACUUUGGGGGAUAAGCUCCAUAGUCAAGAGGGAAACAGCCCAGACCAUCUGUUAAGGCCCCUAAAUGAGAAUGAAAGUGAUUAAGGAAGUAGUCAAGUAAAUACAUCCAGGAGGUUAGCUUAGAAGCAGCGAUCCUUUUAAGACAGCGUAAUAGCGCACUGGCCUAUAUUUUAAAAAAUAAUAACUUGAUUGCGCCGAAAAUGAAAGGGACUGUAUUCUCUGCCGAAGCAAUGGAAUAUUUUUUUAAAUAUUGGUAGGAGAGCGUUCUGAUAAAAAUCAGAAGUGAGAAUGCCGAUUUUAGUAACGAAAACAUUGGUGAGAAUCCAAUGCCCCGAAAACCUAAGGAUUCCUUUGGCAGGUUCGUCCGCAAAGGGUUAGUCGGCACCUAAGGCUAAAUCGAAAGAUUAUGUCGAUGGAUAACAAGUUAAUAUUCUUGUACACUUUUUUUUAAUUUAAUUCGAUUAAUUAAAAAUAAAAAGAGUAACGAAAUUACUAAAAGGAAACUGUUACUGGAUUUCAGUUUAUAAAAGUGGAGUUAUAUAGGAAAAAAAACUUAUAAAAAAUAAUUCUACUUUUUUAUACCCUUCAAAAAUUUCCAAGAAAAACUCUAACUUUAUAAAAAAAAAAGUGCCGUACCUUAAACCGACACAGGUAGGUAAGUAGAGAAUACUAAGGGGAGCAAGAAAACUCACUCCAAGGAACUCGGCAAAUUAACUCCGUAUCUUCGGUAGAAGGAGUGCCUAAAUUAAAAAAGGUCUCAGUAAAAAGAUUCGAGUAACUGUUUAACAAAAACACAGCUCUCUGCUAAUUCGUAAGAUAAUGUAUAGGGGGUGACGCCUGCUCACUGACAAGUAGUGAACGCUUUUAGUGAUAAUUUAUAUUUGAGCUUUGGGCUAAAACCUUGUUGAAGAGAAGUUCUAACUAUGAGAAUUAUAAAGUAGCGAAAUUCCUUGGCGGGUAAGUUCCGUCCUGCACGAAUGGCGUAAUAACUCGAAUACUGUCUCGGAGUGAGACUUGGUGAAAUAACAAAAUCCGUGAAGAUGCGGAUUAAUGGCAUCAGGACAGAAAGACCCUUGAAGCUUUACUGGAAUCUGAAAUUGAAAGCUAUAUUUAACUGCGCAGCAUAGGUGGGAGAUUUUAAAUGAAAGUUUAGGCUUUUCAUUUAUCUUAAGUGAGAUACCACCCUUUUUAAUAUAAAAUUCUAACUUGAUUUUUUUCAAAGACAGUUUUUGAUGGACAGUUUGUCUGGGGCAGACGCCUCCUAAAAGGUAACGGAGGCUUCCAAAGAUUUUUUUAAGCGGGUUGGAAAUCCGUAGUAAAGUGUAAAAGCGUAAAAAAAUUUGACUGUAAAACUUAAAAGUUGAACAGGGACGAAAGUCGGGUUUAGUGAACCGACGAUUCUUUGUGGUAGGGUCGUCGAUAAAAUAAUAAAAGUUACUCAAGGGAUAACAGGCUUAUCUUCACCUAGAGUUCAUAUCGACGUGAAGGUUUGGCACCUCGAUGUCGGCUCAUUGCAUCCUGGAGCUGCAGCAGGUUCCAAGGGUUAGGCUGUUCGCCUAUUAAAGCAGUACGUGAGCUGGGUUCAGAACGUCGUAAGACAGUUUGGUCCGUAUCCGAUGUCAUCGUGGGAGUAUUGAGAGGAUUUUUUAAUAGUACGAGAGGACCUUAAAAAGCACACCUCUGGCGUACCAGUUUUUGUGCCAACAGAAAACGCUGGGUAACUAUGUGUGAAGUAAAUAACCGCUGAAAGCAUCUAAGUGGGAAGUUCACCUCAAGAUGAGUACUCCUAAAAAAUUUAGAGGCUCCGAAAAGAUUAACCGGUAAAUAGGUGUUAAGUUUAAAAUAAGUAAUUAUUGUAGCUGAGACAUACUAAUAAGCCAAAUUUAAGC